AGCAGUCGCCACGGUAAUACGUAGGUGGCAAGCGUUGUCCGGAAUCAUUGGGCGUAAAGGGCUCGCAGGCGGUUUCUUAAGUCUGAUGUGAAAGCCCCCGGCUCAACCGGGGAGGGUCAUUGGAAACUGGGAAACUUGAGUGCAGAAGAGGAGAGUGGAAUUCCACGUGUAGCGGUGAAAUGCGUAGAGAUGUGGAGGAACACCAGUGGCGAAGGCGACUCUCUGGUCUGUAACUGACGCUGAGGAGCGAAAGCGUGGGGAGCGAACAGGAUUAGAUACCCCUGUAGUCCCUGUCUCUUAUAC
rnacentral:rRNA from 1 species